CUCCAGUAAAGGGCUGUUCACACACCCUACUCCCGUCUCAGGCCCAGAACUCCAAAAGGUGGACUUACUGGGGCUGGCUGCAAUGGAAGAGGAAAGUCUGUUUCAGAACGAGCUACUGGAGGGUU
ensembl:snoRNA Gm25487 small nucleolar RNA SNORD22